AAAGCUUUAAGUUAAAAAAACUAUUAACCUUCAAAGUUAAAAUUAUAAGGAUUCUUAUAAGCUUUA
rnacentral:tRNA from 1 species